rnacentral:rRNA from 1 species
CCUACGAGGCGCAGCAGUGGGGAAUAUUGGACAAUGGGCGAAAGCCUGAUCCAGCCAUGCCGCGUGUGUGAAGAAGGCCUUCGGGUUGUAAAGCACUUUCAGUGGGGAAGAAAGCCUUGGGGCUAAUACCCUCGAGGAAGGACAUCACCCACAGAAGAAGCACCGGCUAACUCCGUGCCAGCAGCCGCGGUAAUACGGAGGGUGCGAGCGUUAAUCGGAAUUACUGGGCGUAAAGCGCGCGUAGGCGGUCUGAUAAGCCGGUUGUGAAAGCCCCGGGCUCAACCUGGGAACGGCAUCCGGAACUGUCAGGCUAGAGUGCAGGAGAGGAAGGUAGAAUUCCCGGUGUAGCGGUGAAAUGCGUAGAGAUCGGGAGGAAUACCAGUGGCGAAGGCGGCCUUCUGGACUGACACUGACGCUGAGGUGCGAAAGCGUGGGUAGCAAACAGGAUUAGAUACCCCAGUAGUC